CACACAGUUUAUCCGCCAUAUUGCUUUCUUUUUUCACAUAAUGUCUGUCCUGCCAUUUUAAAUUUUUUUCAUUGGUUCUUUUUUAGCAUAAUGAAGUGACUUUGCAAAACUCUUUAAAGAUACGCAAAAUAAGGUAAAAUGCUGUUCUAUAUAAAAGUUGUUUAUAUCAAGCUGAACAAGCAUGUUUCCUUCUAUUUUAAAAUUAAAUCAC
rnacentral:lncRNA from 1 species